GCGCUCGCUGGGGGCCGGGGCCCCGCGCGCCCGGAAGCAGCGGGGCGAGCCGUGGGGCCUCGCCGGGCCUGGCGGGCGGUUCCCGCGGGUGGCUCUGCGCGGUCUCGCCUCAGGGGCUGCUGCUGCUUGGCCGACGGCGCCCCAGGAGACACAGCCCUGGCCCGGAGCCGAGGCGCCCCUCUUCCCGCGCCGGGCACAGCCCUCCUGGCCUCCGACGGAGGACUCGCCGGGCCCCGUGUCGCCCUUCGGGAAGGAGGCGCCCUACGCGGCCCUUGGCUCGACGCUGUCGGAGAGACUCUUCCCCACCCCUGCGUGGACUUGCAGCCCCUUCCGUGGCGUCGCGCGGGGACCCGCAGACGAGGGCUCCGCUGACCCGGGGACCGGGCUCCGCGCCGUGAGGAGGCUGCGCUCUCAGAGCCGUUCCCGGCGUAGGGCGGCGGGGCUGGUGCUCCGUGAUCUUCAAAAAUGGUAGUCGUCAUCACGGGUGGUAACUGCGAGGGGGAGAGCGCCCCUUCCCACGGCUGUGAGCCAUGUGGAUACCCUUCUUUUGUGAACUGCACGUUCAGCUCUCUUGGCCGUGUUCUUUUGGGUUGGCUCAUUGGUUUGUAGCAGUAAGUACUUUGUUGGGGACACAAACCCUUCGUCAGGUCUGUGUGUUGAAAACACCUGUCCUGUCCCUGGUUGCCUCUUCCUUUCCUUGAAGGGAGGUUUUUGUUUUGUUUUGGAGAAUAGAGGUUUGUUAUUUUGUCUUUUUAAACGUAGUCACAUUUAUGGACCUUUUCAAAUGUUACUAAUUAUGUCAUGUUCUGGGCUUUUGCUCGUGUCUGUUCCAAUUUCACAGGAUAUUUUAAAAAGUGUCUUAGAGUCCCCAAGGAGACUAAAAAAGGGGAGGGUGUUAGGGGUGACAGAACAGCAGCUGAACAAAUGUAGAAGGAAGGACAGAAUUUAGAUUGCGGCCAUCAGUUUAACAAUCUAUUCAGAUGAGGAUCAUCAAUGGAUGUUAAAACCUUUGGGUGAUAAUUUAUGGGAAAACGGGAUAGUUUCAGGAUUUCACGGUAAUACUCUGCUUGUUCAUUACAUUGAGAAGGCUCCUUUUACAAUGAUGGAUGCCAGAGUUAACCAAGGGAUCAAAUUUAGCAUCACCAGAAUGAAACCAACGGCCGUGAUGUCACGUGUGGUAGACAGAAAGCAUCAGCUGUGUAUCGUGUUUGCCAAAAGUAUUUACCCUGUGUCUGAAGGGAACAAUGAGACAAAUCCAGAAUGUGGACAGUCUGUAAAAUAACGGGCCUGGCAUUUUCAAAAAUGUCAAAUAACAGAAAAACCAGAGGGUCUAUUGAAGCUAAGAGGACACUAAAGAGAUAUUUCAGCGUAAAUGUAAUUUGUGAACUUUGAUUGGAACCUGGAUUGGAGCGGGGGUGGGGUGGGGCAGCCAUUGGGAUAACUGGAGAAAUUUAAAAUUAGAGCACAUUAAAAAAAAAAAAAUAGAGCACAUAUUAGAGUACGUUGUGUCCAUGAAGGGUUUCUUUGGUGGGUUAAUGAUAUCCUGGGUACGUAGAAGAUCUUAUUCCUAGGAGAAACGUGAUAAAAGACGUGUCUGCAAUUUACUUUCAAAUGAUGACACAAAGGAAAUAAAUAUGUAGAAAGAUAAAGCUAGUGUGACAAAAGGUUAACGGCUGAAUCUAGGUGAAGGUUAUAUGGGAUUCUUUUGUAUAGCUCUCUGCAUUCCUGUAGGCUUGACAGUUUUCAAAAUAGGGUAAAAGGUGAGAGUAAGUCUUGUGUAUUCUGGGCUUUUUUGUGUCCACAAAAUAUUUAGAAUUAGUUUGUCAAGUUGCACAGAAAAAUUUAAAAAUCUCUAGGUGUUUUGAUUGGGAUAGCCUUGCAUCUCUGUAGAUCGGUUUGGGGAGAGUUGACACCUUUAAAGUAGUAACUUUUCUAGUUUAUAUUCUACCAUUGAUUGAGGCCUUUUAAGUUUUCUCCAAUAAUAUUUAAUAGUUUUAUUUAUAAACAUCAUAUACCUACUUUGUUACAUUUGUUUUAUCUAUUUCUGUUGCUAUUGUAAAUGAAAUCUUUAAAACUUUUAUUUUCUGUUGUUAUGGAGAAAUGCAGCUGAUGUGUAUACUGACAUACCCAGCACCACUGCUUGCGCUCCCUUAGUAAUUUUAAUAAUUUAUCUGUAGACUCUCGGGUUUCUACACCAUCAUAUCCAUAAAUAAUGAUGAUUGAUUGUAUUUAUCCCUUUCCAAAUCUUAUAUAUAACAUUUUGUUUUCCUCAUCUCAGUGUAUUGACUAGGAAGAAUGGUGUGGAAUCAAAUGUCUUGCUCCCUGCCCCGCCUCCCAUCUCAAGGGGAAGCUGUAACCCUUCACUUCUGAGUCUGAUGUGGACUGAAGUUUUUUUUUUUUUUUUUUUGAAGAUUUAUUUAUCUGACAGAGACAGUGAGAGAGGGAACACAAGCAGGGGGAGGGGGAGAGGGAGAAGCAGACUCCUCACUGAGCAGGGAGCCCGACUGAGGACUCGAUCCCAGGACCCCGGGAUCAUGACCUGAGCCGAAGGCAGAUGCUUAAGGACUGAGCCACCCAGGCGCCCCUGAUGUGGACUGAAGAAUUUUUGUCGGUACUGUCUGUCAGUUUGUGGGAAGUUGUCUUCUGUUUCUGGUUUACUAAGAGUUCUUUUUCCUUUUUUUUUUUUAAGAUUUUAUUUAUUUAUUUGAGAGAGAGAGAGAGAGAGAGAGAGCACAAGCAGGGGGAAGGGCAGAGGGAGAAGCAGGCUCCCUGCUGAGCAGGGAGCCUGAUGUGGGGCUCGAUCCCAGGACCCCAGGACCAUGACCAGAACCAAAGGCAGACGCCCAACCGACUGAGCCACCCAGGUGCCCCUAAGAGUUCUGUUCAUGAAUGGAUUUGGAAUUGAAGAAAACUUUCUCUGAAUGAAGGAACAAGAGGACAUCUCAGGCCACUACCGUCAGUCUUCACCGAAGGCUGGGAGCUGACUCGUCCUGGCCACGUCCCGUCUGACUGGGUCCGGGACAGGAAAUGGCCCCUGUCUUCCGGGCAGGCCAUGACCGCAGCUUAAAGCAUCUGUCUCUCCCUCUGUUCCAAGAACAUCUUCUGGACUCUCGGACUCUGUCAAAUGCCGACCCCCUCCGAAAUCUCUGCACUGUGCCUCCUGGCCUACCAUGUGCUGAGGCUGCUUUCUACUCCUCCCUCUAGUCUUCGA